AUUGAACGCUGGCGGAAUGCUUUACACAUGCAAGUCGAGCGGCAGCACGGGGGCAACCCUGGUGGCGAGCGGCGAACGGGUGAGUAAUACAUCGGAACAUGCCCAGUCGUGGGGGAUAACACUUCGAAAGAAGUGCUAAUACCGCAUACGUCCUGAGGGGGAAAGCGGGGGAUCGCAAGACCUCGCGCGAUUGGAGUGGCCGAUGUCAGAUUAGCUAGUUGGUGGGGUAAAGGCCUACCAAGGCAACGAUCUGUAGCUGGUCUGAGAGGAUGAUCAGCCACACUGGGACUGAGACACGGCCCAGACUCCUACGGGAGGCAGCAGUGGGGAAUUUUGGACAAUGGGGGCAACCCUGAUCCAGCCAUUCCGCGUGAGUGAAGAAGGCCUUCGGGUUGUAAAGCUCUUUUGGCAGGAACGAAACGGUGAGCUCUAACAUAGCUUGCUAAUGACGGUACCUGAAGAAGAAGCACCGGCUAACUACGUG
rnacentral:rRNA from 1 species